rnacentral:rRNA from 1 species
UACGAAGGGUGCAAGCGUUACUCGGAAUUACUGGGCGUAAAGCGUGCGUAGGUGGUUUGUUAAGUCUGUUGUGAAAGCCCCGGGCUCAACCUGGGAAUGGCAAUGGAUACUGGCAAGCUAGAGUGCGGUAGAGGGUAGUGGAAUUCCCGGUGUAGCGGUGAAAUGCGUAGAUAUCGAGAGGAACACCUGCGGCGAAGGCGGGUUGCUGGGCUGACACUGACGCUGAGGCGCGAAAGCUAGGGGAGCGAACGGG